AGCAUAUCAAUAAGCGGAGGAAAAGAAACCAACAGGGAUUGCUUUAGUAACGGCGAGUGAAGCGGCAACAGCUCAAAUUUGAAAGCUGGCUCCUUCGGAGUCCGCGUUGUAAUUUGUAGAGGAUGAUUCGGCAAGGGCUCCCGCCUAAGUCUCCUGGAACGGAGCGUCAUAGAGGGUGAGAAUCCCGUAUGCGGUGGGCUGCCUAAGCCAUGUGAAUCUCCUUCGACGAGUCGAGUUGUUUGGGAAUGCAGCUCUAAAUGGGAGGUAAAUUUCUUCUAAAGCUAAAUACCGGCCAGAGACCGAUAGCGCACAAGUAGAGUGAUCGAAAGAUGAAAAGCACUUUGGAAAGAGAGUUAAAAAGUACGUGAAAUUGUUGAAAGGGAAGCGCUUGCAGCCAGACUUGUCCGCAGUUGCUCAGCCGGUCUCCUGACCGGUGUACUCUUCUGCGGCCAGGCCAGCAUCAGUUCGGGCGGUCGGAUAAAGACCUCGGGAAUGUAGCUCCUCUCGGGGAGUGUUAUAGCCCGGGGUGGAAUGCGGCCAGCCUGGACUGAGGAUCUCGCUUCGGCUAGGAUGCUGGCGUAAUGGCUGUAAGCGGCCCGUCUUGAAACACGGACCAAGGAGUCUAACAUCUAUGCGAGUGUUUGGGUGUCAAACCCAUGCGCGUAAUGAAAGUGAACGGAGGUGGGAACCCUCACGGGUGCACCAUCGACCGAUCCUGAUGUCUUCGGAUGGAUUUGAGUAAGAGCAUAGCUGUUGGGACCCGAAAGAUGGUGAACUAUGCCUGAAUAGGGUGAAGCCAGAGGAAACUCUGGUGGAGGCUCGCAGCGGUUCUGACGUGCAAAUCGAUCGUCAAAUUUGGGUAUAGGGGCGAAAGACUAAUCGAACCAUC
rnacentral:rRNA from 1 species